CUUUUCCGUUUUCUCCGUUACACCUCCGUGAGCCUCGCGUUUUCCAACGAUCUCAUUUUUUAAAGUGAAAUUUCUAUGGGCGCGAUUCGGCGGCAGAGCAUUAUGGCCGACUGUCAUCCGAGCGUCACGAAAAGUACAAGCGAAAAUUAUAAUAAGUAAAUUUCUAUCCAUAAUGAACGGAGAAAUUUCACCGUUAACACGUGCCUUUACCACGCAAACGAUUUUUCCUUUUCAUAUUGUUCAUGAGGAAAAAUUAAUUUCACCAAUUGAUUACUGCGUCGAAAACAUUUGAUAGAUUCGUGGUAUCGAUAAAUCGUUGUUUAACUUAACGAUAACAGAAAUGCGAUAAUGGUACGAUUAAAAGAAAAAGAUAAAAUUUUAUCCGGGGUAUGGCAGGGGCGGGGGGCCCCUGUGAUACACCCCUGCGUAUUCCGGCUGCGCGCCGCCUAAUUGCUCAGUUUUAAUCUUAACCCUUCAUUGCACAAUUUUCUAAAUUCUGUAAAAUACUUCUACUCUCAGAAGCGAUAAUAAUAGCACACAUAUUUUCUCACAAAUUUAUCUACAGAAUUGCAUGUUUGAAAUUCAUAUUAUGGAAUUUCAUGUUUGACAAGUCACAAGCAUGAUACAUUAUUUUAUUUUAAUAACGGGUUAGUAAUUUGCUAAAUAAUCUGCACUGAAAUUGCUGUUUCAUUCUGUGAAAUACUCAUUAAGAGUUACAGAACAUCCUGUAUGUUUUCCAUCUGUUUGGACAACGUGCAAAACAAAAACUUAAGUCCCUAUUGAACGUAGGUGUAUAAAAUCAAUUCCUGGAAGUCUCAAAAGGUUUGGAAGGUUUCAAAAUCUUGAAGCUCUCAACAGGAAAACAGUUGCAAGCCAAAUCGUCAUAAGCUUAUCCUUAUGGCUCAUUUUAAUCAGACAUGCAUCUUCUAGAUGUGUCUAUCAAUACAUCCAUGGUACAAGCUUUAUCUAUUGGACUAAGAACAAUCUUCCAACUGGAUAUAGCCAUUUCUUUCUUAUGAUGGAAAAAUCAAAUUUUUUAAAAACCGAUGCCAAGAAGUUAGUGCAUGAAACUGAGGAAUAUUUACUGACUAUCAAAGCAAUUGAUUAUUGAAGACAAGUCUCGCGGCAGCGAUGACAAAUGGUAACACGAGUAGAGGAAGCCUUCUUGACCGCCACGAGUUCACGAGACA